rnacentral:rRNA from 1 species
UACGUAGGUGGCAAGCGUUGUCCGGAUUUAUUGGGCGUAAAGCGAGCGCAGGCGGUUCCUUAAGUCUGAUGUGAAAGCCCACGGCUCAACCGUGGAAGGUCAUUGGAAACUGGGGAACUUGAGUGCAGAAGAGGAGAGUGGAAUUCCAUGUGUAGCGGUGAAAUGCGUAGAUAUUAGGAAGAACACCAGUGGCGAAGGCGGCUUUCUGGACUGUAACUGACGCUGAGGCUCGAAAGCGUGGGGAGCAAACAGGAUUAGAUACCCGUGUA